rnacentral:ncRNA from 1 species
CAAAAGCUUUUAUGAAAUAUGUAAAAUUAUAUGCCUACAUAAAAAUAUAUUUAACAAUGANGCUAACUCCAAAAACCCGUCCUCAGUUCGGAUUGCAGGCUGCAACUCGCCUGCAUGAAGCAGGAAUCGCUAGUAAUCGCCGGUUAGCCAUACGGCGGUGAAUCCGUUCC